CUGCCUUACAGUUUAAGAAAAGUCAUCUGUGAUCAUGGAGCCAUCAACAAAUCUUUCAGUUCAAGAGAGUAACAUAUGGACCUGCUUUAGAUGUUUGGAAAAGAAGAAUGAAAACAACGAAGACUGUGAAAGCAGAACUGAACUCUGCCCUGAUGGAGGUGAUGGUCCCCAAAAUACCUGGGCGUGUUCUACUGAGCAUCACUCCAU
rnacentral:lncRNA from 1 species